rnacentral:rRNA from 1 species
UCCUACGGGAGGCAGCAGUGAGGAAUAUUGGUCAAUGGUCGGGAGACUGAACCAGCCAAGCCGCGUGAGGGAUGAAGGUACAGAGUAUCGUAAACCUCUUUUGCCAGGGAACAAAGGCGGGGACGUGUCCCCGGAUGAGUGUACCUGAAGAAAAAGCAUCGGCUAACUCCGUGCCAGCAGCCGCGGUAAUACGGAGGAUGCGAGCGUUAUCCGGAUUUAUUGGGUUUAAAGGGUGCGCAGGCGGUCUGUUAAGUCAGCGGUCAAAGCCCGGGGCUCAACCCCGGCCCGCCGUUGAAACUGGCAGG